UCGAGGUCCAUAUACCUGGUAGAGUC
rnacentral:sRNA from 1 species